AUGACUUUGAUCUGCGUCCUCAUCUGGACUCUCCUCUGCUGCUGCUUCACAGAGUCCAGAGGACAAUACACAGUGACUCAGCCUGGAGCAGUGAGCUCUGCUGUGGGACGAUCUGUGAACAUCAACUGCAGAACCAGUCAGAAUGUUUAUGGCUCUGACCGUUUAGCCUGGUACCAACAGAAAGAUGGAAAACCACCCAAACUGCUCAUUUAUUAUGCUAGCAGCAGAGAAUCAGGGAUUCCAGCUCGUUUUACAGGCAGUGGAUCAAACUCUGACUUCACUCUGACCAUCAGUGGAGUCCAGGCUGAAGAUGCAGCAGUUUAUUACUGUCAGAGUUUGCACUAUAUCAACAGUCAGCAUGUGUGGACGUUUGGUGGAGGAACCAGACUGGAUGUUGGAAGUGAUGUGCUCCCCGCCCUGAAGGUGCUGGGUCCCUCCAGUGAGGAGCUGCAGCAGGGGAAGGCCACGCUCAUGUGUCUGGCCAACAAGGGCUUCCCCUCAGACUGGAGGCUGUCCUGGAAGAUGGACGGCAGCAGUGGCAGCAUCAGAGGGGAGGAGAGCAGGACUCCCGCAGUGCUGCACAAUGACGGCCGCUACAGCUGGAGCAGCACCCUGACACUCACUGCAGACCAGUGGGGGAAGGUGGGCUCUGUGAGCUGUGAGGCCACCCAGGGCUCCCAGGCUCUGGUCUCAGAGACACUGAGGAGAGACCAGUGUUCCCAGUCCUGAUGUGACUCACUGGGACUCUGAUCCUGCUUUUCUUCAGCUACUGCUCUCUGUGUGCUCCAACUCUCUCUGUCUCUUUCUUUCUUUUUCUUCUCACAUUAAAAGAAAAAAAUCAAAUCAUAAUAUUUUCCAUCUCAUAAGGAUAAAAAAAUGCUAAAAACAAUCUCCUCUAGUUUGAUCCUUUUGUGAUUGUCUGCUGUAAAACUGAUAUUUGAACUUUUCAAAAGAAUAAAAAUGUACUGAGUAAA